rnacentral:rRNA from 1 species
GUUAGGAAUAUUGGACAAUGGGCGCAAGCCUGAUCCAGCCAUGCCGCGUGAGUGAUGAAGGCCUUCGGGUUGUAAAGCUCUUUAGCCGAUGAUUAUAAUGACUGUAGUCGGAAAAUAAGCCCCGGCUAACUUCGUGCCAGCAGCCGCGGUAAUACGAAGGGGGCGAGCGUUAUUCGGAAUCACUGGGCGUAAAGCGUGCGUAGGCGGCUUUGCAAGUUGGGAGUGAAAGCCCAGGGCUCAACCCUGGAAUUGAUAUCAAAACUGCAAGGCUCGAAUUCAGGAGAGGAUAGCGGAAUUGUCAGUGUAGCAGUGAAAUGCGUAGAUAUUGACAGGAACACCAGUGGCGUAAGCGGCUAUCUGGACCGAUAUUGACGCUGAGGCACGAAAGCGUGGGGAUCAAACAGGAUUAGAUACCCCGGUAGUCC